UAUAAACUGAGUGACACGUCAAAGGCAACCAAGGCAAGACAAGAAAAGCACAGGCAACACAAACUUGGCUCUAGUGGCUACAUGAAACUUGUUGCAUGAAUUGGCUCUGAAUUCAAUAGAGCACCCACAGAAGAUGACAAGAGAAUUUACUACCAGCAAGGCUAUUCAACCGUGGUUGAUCGGCUACGAGAAUUGAGUGGGCAUACACAACAUUCGAGUGCAUCCGUCACACAGCCUGCUAAUUGUGAAACACCACCUGCACAUGAAGGUCUAGAUGUGCAUCCUAGUAGUGGAGAGCAUGUAGUCGGUGGUGACCAAGUGGAGCAUGAUCUGGGUACACAACAUCAGGAACAUGAUGUUCCCCACUCAG